CCCACAACAUUUUCAUUUACAAAUUAAGGAAAUACAGACUAAAUAAAAGUACUAUAAGGUAGAUACAUAACUAGUUGGACAUUGUGCUCAAUGAGUGAUCAUCAGUGGGUCAAUGUCUAGUUAGAAGGAAAUUUCAACUGGGGGUCCC